AAGAAGCCACCAGAAGGAACCAAUUCCAGACACGGGAGCACAGAUGUACCCUGAAUAUAUGCCUUCGUUACAGAAGCUUUUUGAGUUUUAAGACAUAUGCUGAAAAAGAAGUGUGGCAGUGGCUCACCACCUACGAAGAAAAAUCCAAAUUACUCUGUUUAAACAGGCAACCUUGAAAUACGAUAUGCACUGGAUUUGAGUUCUGUUAACUCUGUGUGAGUCACUUCUGGAGGCA